UACGUAGGGGGCAAGCGUUGUCCGGAUUUAUUGGGCGUAAAGAGCGUGUAGGCGGCUAUACAGGUCCGCUGUGAAAACUCGAGGCUCAACCUCGAGACGUCGGUGGAAACCGUAUGGCUAGAGUCCGGAAGAGGAGAGUGGAAUUCCUGGUGUAGAGGUGAAAUUCGUAGAUAUUCGGAAGAACACCAGUGGCGAAGGCGGCUCACUGGCCCGGUACUGACGCUGAGGUGCGAAAGCGUGGGGAGCAAACAGG
rnacentral:rRNA from 1 species